GUGGGCGUGGCGGAGUUGUUAUCGGGCAUGACUCAAAAUCAUGUCGGCUUUGCUCGCGUAGGUUCGAAUCCUGCCGCCCACG